ensembl:lncRNA
UGUACGGAUCUCGUAAUUUGAUUUUCCGUUCUGAAACGGGUAUUGAAAAACAAAAAACGAGUGGUUAUUUGAUUUUCGUUUUAAAAUACAAAAAUUAAAAUUGAAAUACAAGGCGUUUUUCCUUUUCAUGAUCAAAAAGGGAUAUACGAUUUUUUUUAAAAAAAUGCUUUGAUUUUCGUUUUAUAUUUAGAAUAACAAGAAAGUAAAAUCAGUAAGAGACAGAAACGAAAAAAGGUCAGUUUUUUCAUUUUCUGAGACCGGAAGUGGUCAUCAGCAAGUGUGGAGCCAAACAGAGUACGGUGCAUAGACUGUACAUAGAUUUUCUUUCGUUAGUUUUCAUGGUCACAAUGAGAGAUCAGGUGGCCAAUCCUAAAAUUAAUCAAUAUUGAAUUUUAUAUAGAGCGUUAAAGUUUUGCGAAGCCAGGGGGCGGGGUUACUUGAUUGACAGGCUGGUCUGGAAUGAUUGACAGGUCCCAUGGAGGAAGCAGAGACUCUGCUCUCCUCCUUUGGAUUAAUUCUGAUAUAAUAACUGUUGGUUUGUUUAUCGGUGGAGCAGCAGAACAUUUUCGACAGACAGUUUUCCUGCCCGUUGGCUUGUUUUAACCAGUUUUCUACCUUCGGCUGAUUCUACCAGCAGACACUGAAAGGACUCUAAUAGUUCGAGUGAAAGUAGCAGUUCCUCCUUAAGGUCAGAGAUUGCAGCAUCUGAGGGCCUCUUCAAAAGAAGACGUAGUUGAUGAAGGCGUUCUGGAGCAGGACCAGAAAGAACACGACCAAGCAGCCCUGAGAUCUUAGGCAGCGUCUCCCUCGGUCAAAGGUCCCUCUCUAUCUCCCCACACAUCCACCAACCACUGGAACACAUCUCCAAAGUUCUGCCGGUCCAGCUCAGCUUCCCCUCAGAAGAAGUUCCACCAGAUGAAGGAGCCUUUUGAGAGGCAGCUGGCAUCGUGAUUGGACUGUACUUUGGUCUGUUCCAAUCCAGCUUCAGCUCCAGAGACGGCAGGCGGGACGAGUCAACGGAGGCCGGGUGGACGAAGGCAUGCAGCUGAUGGCUGUAAAAAGUCAGUCCAUCCUGACCGACUUCAACACCUCUUCAAGACAGCUUGUUCUGCCUCCGACCUGGUGGAAACUCCAGAAACUCGGGAAAACCCGUGGAGACUCGAAGAACUCGUGGCGACUCGAAGAACUCGUCGGGCGGGGGAAGGUGUGGUGGGCGGUGGGGGAAGGUGGGGGAGUAGAGGGGGGAGGCCGCCACCCACCUCCCCACCUACUCUCCGCCCUGACUCCACCCAGACUCCGCCUUGGCUCUGCCCAUGUGGUCACUUCACGAACUACGAUGCCAAAGGGACGACGAAUUUAUUUCUUUUCAUCUGAUCUGUAGCUCAGUGAGUUAAGGAUUUGCCUGUGGAGC